rnacentral:tRNA from 1 species
GCCAGUGUGGUAUAGUGGAUUAAGCAUGAGACUAUGACUCUGGAGAUCAGGGUUCUAAUCCCAGCUCAGGCA